rnacentral:tRNA from 1 species
GGGCCCGUGGUCUAGCUGGUAGGACAGAGGAGGAUCCCUAUCGCCGCCCUCACGCGGCGGAGGUCGCCGGUCCGAAUCCGGCCGGGCCCACCA